GCACGGGACACCGGCGCCGCCAUCAUGGCGGCCUGAGGCGCGGCGGGCACGGCGGUGGGAGUCGCAGGGCGGGAGGCCGUGAGCGGAGAGAUUGAAAACCUAGAAUGGCAGGAGAACAGAAGCCGUCCUGCAAUCUUCUAGAGCAGUUUAUUUUACUAGCGAAAGGUACAAGUGGCUCAGCUCUGACUGCUCUUAUAAAUCAAGUGCUGGAAGCUCCUGGGGUUUAUGUCUUCGGAGAACUAUUGGAGUUAACGAAUGUGCAAGAGCUUGCUGAAGGGUCUAAUGCUGCUUAUUUCCAGUUGCUGAACCUGUUCGCGUACGGAACAUACCCAGACUAUGUAGCAAACAAAGAUAACCUACCUGAAUUAACAGUGACUCAGAAAAACAAGCUGAAACACUUGACGAUUGUAAGCCUGGCAUCCAGAAUGAAGUGCAUUCCCUAUUCUGUAUUGCUGAAGGAUCUGGAUAUGAAAAAUCUGAGGGAGUUGGAAGAUCUGAUUAUUGAAGCGGUUUAUACAGAUAUUAUCCAGGGGAAGCUGGAUCAGCGAAACCAGGUGCUAGAGGUGGACUUUUGUAUCGGCAGAGACAUUCAGAAGAAGGACAUCAGUAACAUUGUCAAAACACUCCAGGAAUGGUGUGAUGGUUGUGAAGCGGUUCUUUUAGGAAUUGAGCAGCAAGUACUUAGAGCCAACCAAUACAAAGAGAACCAUCACCGAACUCAACAGCAGGUAGAGAUCGAGCAGAGUUUUUAGAAAUAGGUCAUUGUUUCACUCUGCUCCAUGGUGAAGGUCGGUGUCUCUCAGGGACUGCUGACAUUUUGCUGAUAUUUCAUCAAGUUUGGCCCUACUGCAGAGGUACCAGAGCUGUUAGAGAGCACCAGUUCCUACAGGAUCAGCUGCCAGCUGUGAUGCUAUACCUUUUACAUCACGACUGAGAUGACACCUCUCCUUGCUGGCAGACAAGCCAGGUGGGUAGGCAUUACUCCUCAGAGCUGUUCUUCACUUAAGGAGGUGCAGACUAUUGCCUGGGUUAGCAUAAUGGAAAUUUAAGGACAAGGGCAGUGUUGUAAAUAAGGGGCAAAGCAGAGAGCUGUGUCCUAUCCCAGCUCUCCUACAGCUGCAGAAAGCAACCUUGAGCACAUUAGCUCCUCCGCAGAUGCGUUUCCCAGGACAACCUCUCACUUGUGUGCUGACUUUGUGGCAGAGGUUUAUAGAGUGCUUUGCUCUCCUGGUGGGGCAGAGGUUCAUUGUUGAUGGAAUUGAAGAUGUGUGUGUAUGAGAGGGGGGGUUCUCAAAGCUUCUAAGCUUUAAGAAGUCAUCUUCCUCCUAGUUAACAUACCCUUCUUUUCCCCUGAUGAAGCUAAAGUGGUCCACCAUGGGACUAUCAGCUUGCAGUAUUAUGGGUAAUAUGCCAGGUUAAUUAUGCAGGGGGCAGGAAAAAUAGCCUGUGUCUUUCAACAAUAUCAAAGGGAUGCUACUUAAUGAUUUUCCUAUUAGCUCUUUUCCCAGCCUGCCAGAGUCACUGCAGAAGUGUCAUUUACAAAAGCAGUUUGCAACUCAUUACCCUGGAUUUUCACUGUAGUUCUGCUCCAGAGAGCAUGGGCUUUUGCUAUGUGCCCCAGCCUAAUGAAUUGCCUGGUUUGGUUAGUGCUGCCAUCCCUUCUGACAAGGGUGGUUGCUGACUGACAGGAGUGGGCCCGAGUUCAAUUCCCUUCUUGUUUUUGACUUGUGCUUGUGUCAAGCACAGGCUCCCUCUGGAAGCUGCCUUGUGAUUCCUUCUCUUUGUUUUUCUACAUUCUGCAGGAAGCAGCCUAUGCUUGGAGAAGUCCUAGAGCAAGUGACAGGGGCAUGUGUGCCCUUUCCAGCUGGAAAAUUCCACUGCUGUCCUGCUCUGAGCUUUUCUUCAUUGGUUUGGGAUUUGCUGUCACCUGAGCUGGGCUUUGCAACCCUUCAGCAAUAAAUACCUUGGAAAAGUUGCACUAAUGGUACCAAGGAAACACAUGCAGUGUGGGCUGGGGGAAGAGAACUGAUUUCCCACACGUUUGAGGGCCUCUGUGUCCCUGUUGUGGGAGCUCUAAGGUCUGUUCCUGCUUGUUUGGGCUUUGCAUGGCACUUGUUAGAACAGUGCUAGUAGAGAAAGCUCUUAGCCUGUUUAACUAGAGAGCAGUGUGCUUUUUUCAGGCUGGAGGUCUAUGGCUCAUCUAGUGCUAGGAAUAGCUCCUGGAAAGGGGAAACUGGGGCUGUCCCUGGGUCAUGUCACAGGUACUCCCACUUUGAAGCUGAAUGUGGCUACUGCUUAUUCAGGUGGUAGUGCAGGAAAUGUGUAGGUCCCAUGGGUGUUAGUUUGACCUGAGUGUGAACAGAGGAGCCUGGGACUCUUGCCACCAUUGCUUCCAGGUGCAUGUAAACACCUCUGCUAAAUGCAGAGCUUGCUGUGGAGAUGUCACAUGCCAGCCCCCUGAGGUUGCAGCUUGCAUCCAGGACUGCUCUUCCUGUUCAGUUAUGCUGUCUCUGGGCUGGGAUGUGGCAAGGGAGUUUUCCAGUGCUAGCCCUGCAUCCUUUUACUGGAUGUCAUGAGAGUUUGACCUAGCUGGCCCACAAGGGAGGCAGUGAUGUGAGAUCAGUUUGUUUCUGCUGCAUGUGAUGCCUUCUCCCCUCUUAAUUAUAUUCUUGUGGCCCCUAUUUCCUGCUGGCCUUGUUUCCUACUGAGCUCCUGUCUGGAGACCCAAUUGUGACCUUAUCAGAUGCUUGCUGUGCUCUAAGGAGCUGUUUCUGUUUCCCGUUCUGGCCUAUCUUCUAAACUGAGGAAGGUGCUUGUCAGUGCUCUGAAAACUGACCAGUGUUCUCAGUGUCACUCUGCCUGUCAAACACACCAGUCUGGCUGUGCCAUAUGGGUGCUACAAUUGAAUGGAUCCAAAAGUUUUCCCAAGUGCUCUUUCACCAGAGCGCUGCCUUCUCUCUUGCACAUCAGCCCACACCCUUGUGUGGGCACGGUGUUCCUGUCCUACAGGUGGGAAACCAGCAUGCUGAGUGAGGGUGACUUACGCUGCUCAGAGUGGAAGCAGCGAAGUGAGGAGCCAAACUGUUACCCCCUCCCUCUGCACAGAGAACUCUCACUCUGAUCACUCUCCUGCCAAACUAGUGUCCUUUUGCAGUGCAGCUUUGUCCUUUUCCUUGGGCUUGCUCUUUUCCAGGAAGCCCAGUUGAUGGAAGGAUUCUGCUGUGGGAUUAUGCUGCAGAGGAGUAACAGCGAUCCAGACUGUAUGUGACCCCAGGCUGCGAUCGCUGGGAUAUCCCCUAGCCUGAUCUCAAGUUGUGCCUCACUUAGGAAGUCAGAUUUUGUGGAUUGAAUUCCUGAGUCUUGUUCUGUUGAGGAGAGGCCUUCUGUCACCAGGCAGAUGGUUUCAUUCCAGCUCUGGCUUUGCAGCAGACACGGAACUGGAAGGCGGAUUGGCCUCCCCCUUGUUCCCAGCCUGGUACCUGUUGUGGUCACUCCUCUGGCUCCAUGCUCAAGAACCAGGACCCUGAGGGGGACCUGCAGUAACACCACUGUUCAGACCUGGUGUGCAAGGUCUGCACAGUAUGUGAAUACUUAUUGUCCUGUAGGUUUGCAGGGUAACAGUAGACAGCCCUUCUGAUGGGCAUCUGUUCAUGAGCUCCUGUUACAGCCCCUUCCCUUAGAAGAUAGGUGGAGCAAGUAGGGGGACCUUCACAAGUGUUGUAUUUGCCUUGCAGAGCCUCGACAGAGGGUUGUCAUUACCUACCAGCAUCUCUGGAAGGCUCUAGCUGACUCUCAGGCAGGGCACUGAGCUGCCAGCUGCCUUUCCUGCCUCCCUCCUUCCUGGGGCCUUGAUUUUGUUCCCCAUAGGCAACAUCAUAGGCUUCUGCUCCCCAUCCAGCUGGACUCUGGGCACCAGAGGUGGGUACCUGUUUCUGACAGACACUUUUCUUGCACGAGGCUAGAAACGUCAUGUGUGUGCAUCUAACCUGAUGAUUGAGCUGUCGGGUGUCUGGAUCAAUCCUCUUGUUCUCUAAACCUAAUGUUCUCUAAUAGUUGGGGAGAGUCUGGCUGGAGGUUUCUAUGGUUUCCUGGUGGUUGCUAAGGGAAAGGAUCUCUCUGCCUUUAGGUCUUGGUGACUUUCUUUUUGCCCUGUCCUAGGCGCUGGAGCCCAGCAGAACAUAACGCUCGUUGUUUCACAGCCCAUUACAAUGGUCAGGGUGCAAUUUGGGACUCCUGUCACGGCUGAGCUGGGCACCUGCCACUCUUUUAUUUUUAAUCUCUAUGGCCUCUUUGAAGAAUGAGACCAAAGAGCCUUCAUGCAGGAGUUUGUGCUUUUGCUGUGCUCCCAACCCCCUCGCUUGCUGUUUCCUUUAGAGCUCUGAGUAAUUUUUACAAUUUAUUUCAUGCACUUUACGUAGCAAGAAGCUGUAGCAACAGCUGGGUCCGUGAAUCCUUACCAGGCAGUCCUCAGUGUAUUUUGGUCUAUGUAUUGUCCCAGGCACAGUUAAAUAAAUUUGUGUGGGCAGAAGGGACUUUAUGAAGGUUUGGUGAGUGGGAAUAUCAACAAGAUACUUAGCGAGCUGCUGGAUUCUAGAAUAACAGUGCCUUGGGCAUAAAGCUCUAUUCCCACUAGCACAACUGGGGGCCAGAUCCAACAUGGUCUCUGUUGUUGUCAGCAGGGGCUGCAUCUCCAUGCGGUGCCCAGUCAUAAAGCGAUGGUUACAAGAUGAAAUUUGGACCCAAACCUGCAGACUGGAAGUGGUUAAAACAUGUCUAGGCCAAACGCUGCUCUUGUCACACUGCUGAAAAUCCGGUUCCAGGCUGUUGAACAUGGUGGGCUUAUUUCCAGGGGUGCCAUUCAGGAUGUGGGCACAGAUGAGCUGCCUGAGGCCAUGUGCUCUUGCAGGGAGCUUGGCUGGGUUUUCAGAGGCUGAUGGCUGUGCAGCGCCAGGCAGGAUUCGGUCCAUCAGAGCAUCACAGGAUUGGGCGCAAGUUUACUUUUGCAUAUGGAAUCAAAGCUUAAAAUAUCAGCUGGCCUUCCUCUCACUCCUGACUUACCUAAAACAUCUGAACAAUUUCUUUUUUAACUCAGUUGAAAUCAAUCAAUCUGACAUUUAAAUUGUACGUGAAUUUGAUAAAUAAAGACAGGUUACAAAAUGCC